UGACGCUUCUUGUUCCGGUCAGUGCGAUCCUGCUCGGAUACUUCAUUCUGGACGAGAGGAUCGAGGCCCGCGAGAUCGUCGGCGCGCUCGUCAUCGGGAGCGCGCUGCUGGUGAUGGACGGCAGAGUGUUUCGUCUGUUCAGCCGCUCAGGAGUUGGGACUUAACCCUGACUGAGGCGGAUGCCGGCGCGGAGGAAUUUUUGCGGGUCCACGGCGUCGCCAUCGAUCCGCGUUUCAUAGUGCAGGUGAGGGCCGGUGGAUCGUCCGGUCGAG
rnacentral:misc_RNA from 1 species